rnacentral:rRNA from 1 species
AGAGUUUGAUCCUGGCUCAGAUUGAACGCUGGCGGCGUGCCUAACACAUGCAAGUCGAACGCGCUCCAUUCGGUAGCAAUACUGAUGAAGAGCGAGUGGCGAACGGGUGAGUAGCACGUGAGCAACCUGCCCCGAAGACCGGGACAACACCGGGAAACCGGUGCUAAUACCGGAUAUCCCUAUCGGACCGCAUGAUCUGAUAAGGAAAUGGAUUCCGCUUCGGGAGGGGCUCGCGGCCUAUCAGCUAGUUGGUGAGGUAACGGCCCACCAAGGCAUCGACGGGUAGCUGGUCUGAGAGGACGAUCAGCCACACUGGGACUGAGACACGGCCCAGACUCCUACGGGAGGCAGCAGUGGGGAAUCUUGCGCAAUGGGCGAAAGCCUGACGCAGCAACGCCGCGUGGAGGACGAAGGCUUUCUGAGUUGUAAACUCCUUUCAGCAGGGACGAUAGUGACGGUACCUGCAGAAGAAGCAC